rnacentral:tRNA from 1 species
GAAGGUACAGCUCAGUGGUAGAGUGCAUGCCUAGCAUGCAUGAGGUCCUGGGUUCAAUCCCCAGUACCGCCA